UUGUCGAAUCUGGAUCAGAUAGGAUUAUUAAUAUAGCCAGAAGGAACAAAUCAAUUCGCUUUUGCUAAGAAAGACCGCCACGUGCUCACUCUUUUGCUGCCUCUCUCUCUUACCUACUCUUCGUGAUGCAAUGUGUGCGUCCUAUGGCGGAGAGGAGCCAUACUGACUGGUAUAAAUGUAGAGUCGCGGCCGUGGCUGCAACUCACAACGUUCCUCCUUGCUUAUCUGUGGAAAUUACAAAUUUCUGUAUACGUUUUAGUACUAUGAAUGUAUACAUACGUAAAUAUUUUUACGAGAAAAUGAACUAAUCAACCACUGUGCGACUGCUAGUUUUGCCGGCUUGGAUGUUCCCGAUGAUGCACUUGAAAUGUUGCAACCGAUACCGCUGAAAGUCGAACUUUGUUUUAUAUAAUUUUUAGAGUAACAGCCGUUUAGUGGAGUUCACUUUUUCUGCCCUGCCGCAAAUGACAGACUAAAGGUCACCUCCAUACUGUUUGAGAGCAAACCACAACAAAACUUAACCAGCAGA
rnacentral:sRNA from 1 species